rnacentral:rRNA from 1 species
ACGAACGCUGGCGGCACGCUUAACACAUGCAAGUCGAACGAGAGAAGAGAAGCUUGCUUUUCUGAUCUAGUGGCGGACGGGUGAGUAACACGUGAGCAAUCUGCCUUUCAGAGGGGGAUACCGAUUGGAAACGAUCGUUAAUACCGCAUAACAUAAUUGAACCGCAUGAUUUGAUUAUCAAAGAUUUAUCGCUGAAAGAUGAGCUCGCGUCUGAUUAGCUAGUUGGUAAGGUAACGGCUUACCAAGGCGACGAUCAGUAGCCGGACUGAGAGGUUGAUCGGCCACAUUGGGACUGAGACACGGCCCAGACUCCUACGGGAGGCAGCAGUGGGGAAUAUUGCACAAUGGAGGAAACUCUGAUGCAGCGAUGCCGCGUGAGGGAAGAAGGUUUUAGGAUUGUAAACCUCUGUCUUCAGGGACGAAAAAUGACGGUACCUGAGGAGGAAGCUCCGGCUAACUACGUGCCAGCAGCCGCGGUAAUACGUAGGGAGCGAGCGUUGUCCGGAAUUACUGGGUGUAAAGGGAGCGUAGGCGGGAUCGCAAGUCAGAUGUGAAAACUAUGGGCUUAACCCAUAAACUGCAUUUGAAACUGUGGUUCUUGAGUGAAGUAGAGGUAAGCGGAAUUCCUAGUGUAGCGGUGAAAUGCGUAGAUAUUAGGAGGAACAUCAGGGGCGAAGGGGGCUUACUGGGCUUUAACUGACGCUGAGGCUCGAAAGCGUGGGGAGCAAACAGGAUUAGAUACCCUGGUAGUCCACGCCGUAAACGAUGAUUACUAGGUGUGGGGGGACUGACCCCUUCCGUGCCGCAGCAAACGCAAUAAGUAAUCCACCUGGGGAGUACGACCGCAAGGUUGAAACUCAAAGGAAUUGACGGGGGCCCGCACAAGCAGUGGAGUAUGUGGAUUAAUUCGAAGCAACGCGAAGAACCUUACCAGGUCUUGACAUCGUAUGCAUAGCUCAGAGAUGAGUGAAAUCUCUUCGGAGACAUAUAGACAGGUGGUGCAUGGUUGUCGUCAGCUCGUGUCGUGAGAUGUUGGGUUAAGUCCCGCAACGAGCGCAACCCUUACUGUUAGUUGCUACGCAAGAGCACUCUAGCAGGACUGCCGUUGACAAAACGGAGGAAGGUGGGGAUGACGUCAAAUCAUCAUGCCCCUUAUGACCUGGGCCUCACACGUACUACAAUGGCUGUCAACAGAGGGAAGCAAAGCCGCGAGGUGGAGCAAACCCCUAAAAGCAGUCUUAGUUCGGAUUGUAGGCUGCAACCCGCCUACAUGAAGUCGGAAUUGCUAGUAAUCGCAGAUCAGCAUGCUGCGGUGAAUACGUUCCCGGGCCUUGUACACACCGCCCGUCACGCCAUGGGAGUCGGUAACACCCGAAGCCUGUAGUCUAACCGCAAGGAGGACGCAGUCGAAGGUGGGAUUGAUGACUGGGGUG